GAUGAACGCUGGCGGCGUGCCUAAUACAUGCAAGUCGAGCGAACAGACGAGGAGCUUGCUCCUCUGACGUUAGCGGCGGACGGGUGAGUAACACGUGGAUAACCUACCUAUAAGACUGGGAUAACUUCGGGAAACCGGAGCUAAUACCGGAUAAUAUAUUGAACCGCAUUGUUCAAUAGUGAAAGACGGUUUUGCUGUCACUUAUAGAUGGAUCCGCGCCGCAUUAGCUAGUUGGUAAGGUAACGGCUUACCAAGGCGACGAUGCGUAGACGACCUGAGAGGGUGAUCGGCCAGACUGGAACUGAGACACGGUCCAGACUCCUACGGGAGGCAGCAGUAGGGAAUCUUCCGCAAUGGGCGAAAGCCUGACGGAGCAACGCCGCGUGAGUGAUGAAGGACUUCGGAUCGUAAAACUCUGUUAUUAGGGAAGAACAAAUGUGUAAGUAACUAUGUACGUCUUGACGGUACCUAAUCAGAAAGCCACGGCUAACUACGUG
rnacentral:rRNA from 1 species